AAUCUUGCGCAAUGGGCGAAAGCCUGACGCAGCCAUGCCGCGAGAAUGAUGAAGGUCUUAGGAUUGUAAAAUUCUUUCACCGGAGACGAUAAUGACGGUACCCGGAGAAGAAGCCCCGGCUAACUUCGUGCCAGCAGCCGCGGUAAUACGAAGGGGGCUAGCGUUGCCCGGAAUUACUGGGCGUAAAGGGCGCGUAGGCGGAUCGUUAAGUCCGAGGUGAAAUCCCAGGGCUCAACCCUGGAACUGCCUUUGAUACUGGCGAUCUUGAGUAUGAGAGAGGUAUGUGGAAAUCCGGGUGUAGAGGUGAAAUUCGUAGAUAAUCCGAAGAACAACAGUGGCGAAGGCGACAUACCGGCUCAAUACUGACGCUGAGGCGCGAAAGCGUGGGGAGCAAACA
rnacentral:rRNA from 1 species